rnacentral:rRNA from 1 species
CAGAUCAGGUAGGAAUACCCGUGAACUUAAAGG